UCCUGUUGCUGGCUUUUUUUGCUUUCCAUUUUUGUCCGAUUAUAAAAAUGGAGCGGCGCAGGUUCAGUAACAGAGCACCCCGUAGCCUAAAUGUAAUGGUUGGGGUGGGAGAUGCCAUCAGCCCGUCCUGCCCUCCUAGGCACGUGUCCUUUGGCUCUGGAGGUGACCGGUCCAGCAGCUACUGUGCCUACCUUGUGGCGGUGUUACGACCACGUUGUGAUCAAAGUUACAGGGUUGCGGACAGACAGCAAACCAGUCCAAAGCACUGGCCUGUGGACCACAGUCUGAGGAGCCUUGGGGUAGGACCCUCUGGAAGCCACUGGAUCUUUGAGGAAAUGGUGGUCCACAGAGCCAGACACAUGGAUACGGCAGAGUCCCUCCCCUCAAGAAGAUGACAGAGUGGCCGGGGAGACAGGCGUGCACACAGCCUAGAAGGCUUCCUCGGGGACUCCUGAGGACUUCAGCUGGCACGUUCACCAUACCUCGCGGCAGCUGCCUACACGUGGGCUUCUGUGGAGUUUCUGUCACGCUCCGGACCUGGCACUGCAUAGUGGCAGUAGGCACUCUGUGGACUUCCAACGAGACAGCCUUAUUCAUUUUCACGGUGAUUACCAGUGAUGGUACUCGGUCAAAGCAGGCGGAACCGACCAAGAUGCUGCGGAUUCGAGGGACGGGUACCUUUCUAUUCAGUUUCCACAUUGAAGCCCUCAUGUUCCCUUCAGAUUGGUCCGUUCCUGAACGGGCAUUAGACACGCUUUUGUAACUGAUGUCAGAAUUGGCCAGGAGUGAGAAGUAGGGCCUAACCCCUGAUUUCCCACGGGGAUCUGGAAUCAGCACAGCUAAUAGGAGAAGAAGGGCCAAACGACAGAGAACCAUCAACAGGCGUGUGGGGAAACCAUCUGAGCCACAGCGUGAGCAGGGCGAGAAGGUUUCUGUCUUUCGGACUGGAUGCUGGUCUACCUUGCGCAGAAUGGUGGCCCUGUGGAGAUGGCCCCUGGGCAGAAAAACAGGGUCUCCACAGCCAAAGUGCUCCUCAGGGUGGGAGCCAGGGAGACAGGGACAGCAUGAUCCCAGGCUCUGUGCCCAAGCAUGACACAGUCUUUUCAAAGGUUUGGUUGAAUGAAUCAAGGUCGAGGUGAGGCUAUGAAUAAACCCUUUUCCUAUUCCAGAUA